UCUGAUCGAUGCUUCUGUUUCUGGAUCUGUUUUUGUUCAUUACAACCUUCCCCAAUUCUGCCAGUCCUGCUGUGUCUCAGCUAGGAGAGCAGUGGGCCUCCUGUCCUGGGGAACUGAGAACCCAAUUGCUUUUAUGUUCAUGGCAUUGGCCUUCCUGUUUAUAUUCACCUUGAUAAAUUAAGACCCAGCAUAGAACAAGUGGCACCAGGUUUGAAGUCGGAGCUGAGACUGAAGUUCCUAUACAUUAUGUUUUUCAAAGGUAUGAUAAUUUUAUUAUUCCAAGGCCUGAUGAAAUAUCUACUCAACAUAUUUGCUCAAUUUAUAAUUGAUAAGAUGAUGCGAUUUAUACCAGAGAAAUUAAUAACAUAUGGAAAUAACAUGUUAAUGAUGGUUUUAAACCCAGUACUUAAUUUUGCAAUUGAGAAUAUUCUUCAGUUUGUAAUGAGAAAGAUUGCUGCUGUUAUUCAAACCAGGUUUGUUAAACCUAUGAAAAAUAUCACUUAUCUCUUUAAGAAGAAGAAUCUUCGUGAACCAAUCUGCACUAAUAUAAUUUAAAAAAAUAAUAAACAACGAGUGAAAGCAGUUAUCAGUACUGAAUGAACAACAUCUUGCCUUCCUGGAUGAGCUACAAUGAAACGAGUUGAUUCACUUAUAAUCAUAAAUAAAAACUUCUCUGAAUGAAACUAUUUCUUCGCAGCAUGGUAUCAUCCAUUUGCCAUCAUAAUUUUACUGAAUUUGAUUUUCUGACUAAAGAGAGAGACUUGAAACUGAAUAAAAUAUUUGUAAACA